AUUGAACGCUGGCGGCAGGCUUAACACAUGCAAGUCGAGCGGGGAAAAGUAGCUUGCUACUUAACCUAGCGGCGGACGGGUGAGUAAUGCUUAGGAAUCUGCCUAUUAGUGGGGGACAACAUCUCGAAAGGGAUGCUAAUACCGCAUACGUCCUACGGGAGAAAGCAGGGGACCCUCGGGCCUUGCGCUAAUGGAUGAGCCUAAGUCGGAUUAGCUAGUUGGUGGGGUAAAGGCCUACCAAGGCGACGAUCUGUAGCGGGUCUGAGAGGAUGAUCCGCCACACUGGGACUGAGACACGGCCCAGACUCCUACGGGAGGCAGCAGUGGGGAAUAUUGGACAGUGGGGGGAACCCUGAUCCAGCCAUGCCGCGUGUGUGAAGAAGGCCUUUUGGUCGUAAAGCACUUUAAGCGAGGAGGAGGCUACCGAGAUUAAUACUCUUGGAUAGUGGACGUUACUCGCAGAAUAAGCACCGGCUAACUCUGUGCCAGCCGCCGCGGUAAUAC
rnacentral:rRNA from 1 species